AAAAGGUUUGGUCCUAGCCUUAUAAUUAGUUGGAGGUAGAAUUACACAUGCAAAACUCCCUAUGCCAGUGUCAAAUCCCACAGAGUUUAUAAAACUCUAAGGAGAGGGCAUCAAGUACAUAAUAUAGCUAAAGACGCCUUGCCUAGCCACACCCCCACGGGACUCAGCAGUGAUAAAAAUUAAGCAAUAAACGAAAGUUUGACUAAGUCAUACCUCUCUAAGGGUUGGUAAAUUUCGUGCCAGCCACCGCGGUCAUACGAUUAACCCAAAUUAAUUAUUCUCGGCGUAAAACGUGUUAUUAGAAAACAAAAAAAUAGAAUUAAAACCCAUCCAAUAUGUGAAAAUUCAUCGAUGGGACUAAAAUCAAUGACGAAAGUAAUUCUAAUUCUCUUAAUACACGAUAGCUAAGAUCCAAACUGGGAUUAGAUACCCCACUAUGCUUAGCCCUAAACUUCAAUAAUUUUUCAAACAAAACUAUUUGCCUGAGAACUACUGGCCACAGCUUAAAACUCAAAGGACUUGGCGGUACUUUAUAUCCAUCUAGAGGAGCCUGUUCUAUAAUCGAUAAACCCCGUUAUACCUCACCACCCCUUGCUAAUUCAGCCUAUAUACCGCCAUCUUCAGCAAACCCUAAAAAGGAAUAAAAGUAAGCAAGAGAAUCACCAUAAAAACGUUAGGUCAAGGUGUAGCCAAUGAGGUGGGAAGCAAUGGGCUACAUUUUCUUAUAAAGAACAUCACGUUACCCCUUAUGAAACUAAGGGACCAAGGAGGAUUUAGUAGUAAAUUAAGAAUAGAGAGCUUAAUUGAAUAGAGCAAUGAAGUACGCACACACCGCCCGUCACCCUCCUCAAACUAAAAAAAUGAUAUCUAUACAUAAUUCCAUCAAAAUUUUACGAGAGGAGAUAAGUCGUAACAAGGUAAGCAUACUGGAAAGUGUGCUUGGAAUAAU
rnacentral:ncRNA from 1 species